AGCGAACGCUGGCGGCGUACUUAACACAUGCAAGUCGAGCGAGGGUCACGGUGUGAGCAAUCAUGUCGUGACUCUAGCGGCGGACGGGUGAGUAACACGUGGGUAACCUGCCCUCGAGUCCGGGACACCCCCUCGAAAGGGGGGCUAAUACUGGAUACGUUCCUCGGGUCGCAAGAUCUGGGGAGGAAAGGUAGCUCGCAAGGGCUUCCGCUCGUGGAGGGGCUCGCGGCCUAUCAGCUAGUUGGUAGGGUAACGGCCUACCAAGGCGAUGACGGGUAGCUGGUCUGAGAGGACGACCAGCCACACGGGGACUGAGACACGGCCCCGACUCCUACGGGAGGCAGCAGGUGGGGAAUUUUCCGCAAUGGGCGAAAGCCUGACGGAGUGACGCCGC
rnacentral:rRNA from 1 species